CCUACGGGUGGCAGCAGUGGGGAAUAUUGCGCAAUGGGCGAAAGCCUGACGCAGCGACGCCGCGUGAGGGAUGAAGGUCUUCGGAUCGUAAACCUCCGUCAGCAGGGAAGAACGGUCACUGUGCUAUUCAGCAGUGAAUUGACGGUACCUGCAAAGGAAGCACCGGCUAACUCCGGGCCAGCAGCCGUGGUAAUACGGAGGGUGCGGGCGUGAAUCGGAAUUACUGGGCGGAAAGCGCGCGUAGGCGGUAUGUCAAGCCAGGGGUGAACAUCCGGGGCUCAGCGUGGGAACUGCCUUUGAAACUGGCAAACUGGAGUGUGUGGGAGGAUAGUGGAAUUCCAGGUGUAGGAGUGAAAUCCGUAGAUAUCUGGAGGAACAUCAGUGGCGAAGGCGACUAUCUGGCACAUAACUGACGCUGAGGAGCGAAAGCGUGGGUAGCAAACAGGAUUAGAUACCCCAGUAGUC
rnacentral:rRNA from 1 species